rnacentral:rRNA from 1 species
AACGAACGCUGGCGGCAUGCCUAACACAUGCAAGUCGAACGGGAUCCGGACUUCGGUUCGGUGAGAGUGGCGGACGGGUGAGUAACGCGUGGGAACCUGCCCAGUGGUGGGGGAUAACUGCGGGAAACUGCAGCUAAUACCGCAUGAGCCCGAGAGGGGAAAGAUUUAUCGCCAUUGGAGGGGCCCGCGUUCGAUUAGGUAGUUGGUGGGGUAACGGCCCACCAAGCCGACGAUCGAUAGCUGGUCUGAGAAGAUGAUCAGCCACACUGGGACUGAGAUACGGCCCAGACUCCUACGGGAGGCAGCAGCUAGGAAUCUUGGGAAUGGGCGAAAGCCUGACCCAGCAACGCCGCGUGGGCGAUGAAGGCCUUCGGGUCGUAAAGCCCUUUUGCAGGGGAAGAUUAUGACGGUACCCUGCGAAUAAGCCACGGCUAACUACGUGCCAGCCGCCGCAGUAAGAC